rnacentral:rRNA from 1 species
CAGUAGCCGCGGUAAUACGAAGGGUGCAAGCGUUAAUCGGAAUUACUGGGCGUAAAGCGUGCGCAGGCGGUUGUGUAAGACAGGUGUGAAAUCCCCGGGCUUAACCAGGGAACUGCGCUUGUGACUGCACAGCUAGAGUAUGGCAGAGGGGGGUGGAAUUCCACGUGUAGCAGUGAAACGCGUAGAGAUGUGGAGGAACACCGAUGGCGAAGGCAGCCCCCUGGGCCAAUACUGACGCUCAUGCACGAAAGCGUGGGGAGCAAACAGGAUUAGAUACCCCGGUAGUCCCUGUCUCUUAUAC